rnacentral:tRNA from 1 species
GCCCAAGUAGCUCAGCGGUAGAGCGCGUCCUUGGUAAGGACGAGGUCGUCGGUUCAAUCCCGACCUUGGGCU